AGCGGAGAUGAGGUGCUUGCACCUUAUCUUAGCGGCGGACGGGUGAGUAAUGCUUAGGAAUCUGCCUAUUAGUGGGGGACAACAUUCCGAAAGGAAUGCUAAUACCGCAUACGUCCUACGGGAGAAAGCAGGGGAUCUUCGGACCUUGCGCUAAUAGAUGAGCCUAAGUCGGAUUAGCUAGUUGGUGGGGUAAAGGCCUACCAAGGCGACGAUCUGUAGCGGGUCUGAGAGGAUGAUCCGCCACACUGGGACUGAGACACGGCCCAGACUCCUACGGGAGGCAGCAGUGGGGAAUAUUGGACAAUGGGGGGAACCCUGAUCCAGCCAUGCCGCGUGUGUGAAGAAGGCCUUAUGGUUGUAAAGCACUUUAAGCGAGGAGGAGGCUACUGAGACUAAUACUCUUGGAUAGUGGACGUUACUCGCAGAAUAAGCACCGGCUAACUCUGUGCCAGCAGCCGCGGUAAUACAGAGGGUGCGAGCGUUAAUCGGAUUUACUGGGCGUAAAGCGUGCGUAGGCGGCUUUUUAAGUCGGAUGUGAAAUCCCCGAGCUUAACUUGGGAAUUGCAUUCGAUACUGGGAAGCUAGAGUAUGGGAGAGGAUGGUAGAAUUCCAGGUGUAGCGGUGAAAUGCGUAGAGAUCUGGAGGAAUACCGAUGGCGAAGGCAGCCAUCUGGCCUAAUACUGACGCUGAGGUACGAAAGCAUGGGGAGCAAACAGGAUUAGAUACCCUGGUAGUCCAUGCCGUAAACGAUGUCUACUAGCCGUUGGGGCCUUUGAGGCUUUAGUGGCGCAGCUAACGCGAUAAGUAGACCGCCUGGGGAGUACGGUCGCAAGACUAAAACUCAAAUGAAUUGACGGGGGCCCGCACAAGCGGUGGAGCAUGUGGUUUAAUUCGAUGCAACGCGAAGAACCUUACCUGGCCUUGACAUACUAG
rnacentral:rRNA from 1 species